rnacentral:lncRNA from 12 species
GUAGAUUGUGACUUUUAAGGAAUUGGGGCAUUUCAUCUAAGUUACCAAAGUUGUGGGCAUAGAGUUUUUCAUAAUAUUACUUUAUUUCCCUUUUAAGAUCCAUGGAUUGAUAGUGAUAACUUUUUCAUUUCUUAUGCUAGUAAUUUGCAUCUAGUCUCUUAUUUUCUUAAUUAGCCUGGUUAGGAGAUUAUCAAUUUCAUUGAUCUUUGCAAAGAGCUAACUUGGUUUCUUUGAUUUCCUUUAUCAGUUUUGUGUUGUCAACUUCAUUAAUACCUGCUCUAAAUUUUAUUACUUCUUUUCUCUUGCUUAAAUUUAAUUUGCUGGGUUACUUUUUCCUGAUUUUUUAAGAUAGAGACAGAGAUUGUUUAUUUUAGCUUUUUCUUCUCUUCUAAUAUAUGCAUUCUCUCCUAUAAUUCUCUGCAAAACAUUGUUUCUGGCAUCCCACAAAUGUUCAUGGAUUAUAUUUUUAUUUCCAUUUAGUACAAAAAAAUUUAAAUUUCUCUCGAGAUAUCUUCUUCGAUACAUGUGUUAUUUAGAAGUGUAUUGUUUAAUCUCCAAAUAUUUGGAGGUGUUCCAGCUACCUUUCUGUUAUUAAUUUUUUUAAUUUCCAAAGAACACUUUGUAUAUCGUUUAUUGUUUUAAAUUUGUUAAGGUGAGUUUCACGGCCAGAAUGUGCUUUGUUUACAUGAAUGUUUCUAUAGAAAUGUAAUUUUUUAAAUGUGUAUUUUUUUUGUUUGAUAAAGGGAGAGAGAGAGAGAAAGAGAGAGAAUGAGCUAGGAGAGGGAGAGAGGGAAAGGGAGAGAGAAUCCUCAAACAGACUCCCCACUGAGUACAGAACCUGAUGUGAGGCUUGAUAACAGGAUGCUGAGAUCACGACCCAAGCAGAAACGAGUGUCAGAUGUUCAACUGACUGAGCCACCCAGGUGUCCCGGAAUGUAAUUAUUUUUUAACACUGUGGAGCAUGAAGCAUGACAAAGAUCUUGAGACCCAUCAUUUGGUUCCAGAAACAAAAGCUUUCAGGCAUUUGGAAGUUGCACACUGAGAGAUUUGUGAGUUAUACGUGGGACAAGGAUAGCAUCUGCCAUCUGCCACAGGAAUGA